UACGUAGGGUGCAAGCGUUGUCCGGAAUUAUUGGGCGUAAAGAGCUCGUAGGCGGUCUGUCGCGUCGGCUGUGAAAACUCGGGGCUCAACUCCGAGCUUGCAGUCGAUACGGGCAGGCUAGAGUUCGGCAGGGGAGACUGGAAUUCCUGGUGUAGCGGUGGAAUGCGCAGAUAUCAGGAAGAACACCGGUGGCGAAGGCGGCUCUCUGGGCCUUACCUGACGCUGAGGAGCGAAAGCGUGGGUAGCGAACAGG
rnacentral:rRNA from 1 species